CCGCCUUGCGUUGCCAUAACAACAGUACACAACCCUAUUAGCCACCCUGCGCCUCUUCCAAAACAAUCCUUCCUUCUCAGAUUCAAGACCCUCUUCAGAACUGCUUCUAGUUGAGCAGAACCGGGGACAAGGAUUGAGCUUAAUCUGAUUCCAGAACCUUCCAGCGGGGAGAACGAUGUCAGAUGAGGAUGAUCUGGAUGACUUUGAGCCAGAGUCAGAGCCAGACCAGGAAGAUCUGGAAAAAGAAGAAGAUGAGAAGGAGACAGAGGAGUGGGAGGACUACAAGAAGGAGGGGGAAGAGUUCUCCGAGGAAUGGAUGCCGGUCCCCCUCACUGAGAACAUGAUGAAGGAAGGGCUUUCUUUGCUGUGUAAGACUGGCAAUGGACUGGCUCAUGCUUAUGUUAAGCUUGAGCUUAAAGACAGGGACCUGACAGAUAUUAACUUGCUGCACUCCUACAUCCAUCUGCGCUAUGUGGAUAUUUCUGAGAACCACCUGACUGACCUGUCUCCACUCAAUUUCCUCACUCACCUGCUGUGGCUUAAGGCUGAUAGCAAUCAGCUUCGGACUGCCCGACUGAAUGAACUACCCUACCUGCAAAUUGCUAGUUUUGCCUACAACCAGAUCACUGAUACUGAGGGCAUCUCUCAUCCUCGUCUAAGAAGCCUAGAUCUCAAAGGGAACCACAUCCACAUGGUAACCGGUCUUGACCCCCAAAAGCUGAACAGUCUGCACACCCUGGAGCUUCGGGGAAACCAGCUAGAAUCCACCCUGGGAAUCAACCUUCCUAAGCUGAAGAACCUCUUCCUGGUAGCUCAUUGGACCAUAGGGUGGUAUGGCAAGAGGGCCCAGAACUUGCUGAAGAAGGUUGAAGGCUUGGAGAACCUAAGCAAUCUCACUACCUUGCAUCUCCGAGACAAUCAAAUUGAAACUCUGAAUGGGUUCUCCAUGGAAAUGAAAUCACUGCAGUACCUCAACCUGAGGGGCAACAUGGUGAGUGACCUGGGAGAGCUGGCAAAGCUUCGGGACCUGCCCAAGCUUCGAGCCCUGGUGUUGCUGGAGAACCCAAUUACAGAUGAGACUGAUUACCGUCAGGAGGCCCUGGUACAGAUGGCACACCUGGAGCGUCUGGACAAGGAUUUCUAUGAGGAGGAAGAGCGGAUUGAGGCUGAUGAGAUCCGUCAGAGGAUCAAGGAGGAACAGGAGCAGGAAGCUGAGCCUGAGCAUGACUUGGAACUGGACCAGCCAUUGGUCUAGCAGUGGUUCUUCUACCCUCCAAGGAUAGUAAGGAUACUGGCAGGGAGGCAGCAAGAAGAUGCCAAGGGCUGGGAAGAGAGGGGAAGAGAAGGUGCUGCAAAAGGCAGUGGGAGACCAAUGACCUCGGCCCCAAGACCUGAUAAUACUCCAGUCCCAGGCCACUACAUUCACGGAAGACAGGAUGCUUCCUUUUGCUCCAGAACUGGGAAUUCAUCACAGCCUGAAAUCCAGGCUCAGUGAUGGUCACCUGGGCACUGCUGGGUGCAGUGUGAGGUGUUCUAGGGGCCUGAGCUCCCUCUGGAGCCUAGGCAGGGGGCAGU